CCUUGCAGCCAAGCAGAGACAGCUACAUGACUGCUAUCAGCAGAAACAUUCUGCCCUGGAUAAAUGAAACCAAGACGAGCUGCACUAGCCAUGGACCAUUAAUAGUGCUCUGAAGCAACUAGAUAAUAACAACAUUUUGGAUGCAGACUUGCAAAAGAAUCAUGGUACAUGCCAUUUCCUUAUAGAACAGCUUACCUCCUAAACAAUAAAACAAUGGUGACCCUGGAAAGCUGUCUGCUUAACUGAGUUGCUCAAAGUCACACGGUAAUCAAAUGGAGGCUGAAGAAAACCCCUGACUACAAGAAGAAGCUUGUUAACACCUCAUGGCCUUAACUACCAGAUAUUUCUUGGACUUGACUAAGCAGUUUUACUAUCCAGGUAUAUUAAAACACAUUAAAUUCCCAAAUGAAUGCUGCAA